rnacentral:tRNA from 1 species
GGGACCAAAGUUCUAGCGGCAGAACAUCUGGCUCUUAACCAGCACGGUGAGGGUUCGAGCCCCUCUGGUCCCA